ACAACCUCGUCUUUUUCUCUCUCUCAAGUCUCAACCCACAUCGUUCUCUCUCAACCCACAUCUGCUCUCUCUACCUCGUCGGAGACCAUGACGACAACGAAGCUAUCGGCGAGCCUUAGCCCUUAGACCAUCGUCCAACCUCCCUUGGAUUUCAUUCUUACGGUUUCGAAUUCAAUCUCCGAUAGUGAGUUCGGCGAGUUCCAAGGGCGGCCGAGAGAUCCCAAGGCAUCUGAUCCGUCUUCUCAAAACUCAUAUCCUCAUACGAAGAACCUUUUCACCGUAGUCUAGCUAAGCCUCUUCUCUGACGUAUGACCACAAGCGUUCACCUAACCUAACCUAGAAUUCCAAAAUUUCCAGGAAUCAGAGAGAGAAAACCAAUGCAGGGUACCAACAAUACCAGGUAAAAACUGAAGAAACUCCAAACACCAGGAUAUCAUGGACUCCACGAGACAAAAUGUAAGUAAGAAAAAUCAUUUUGAUUGCUUCCCUAAAUGUGAUACUAAACUCUUUAAGAAUGUUAGCAUGGCUGUUUAACUUCCUCCUCCAGGCUUGUUCUGGUGGGGCAGCACUAUCAAAGUCAAACUAGAGAAGGAGAGGAAAACGAGUCAGUUGGACAACUGAACAAAGAAUUCGCAUGAAUAGAUAUGACACACACCAAAACCAAAGAAUGGUAACAUAAACAAACAGAUAUGCAAAUGCAUUACGAAGACAGUCUGACAUGUUCCCACAUUCUAAUCAACACCAUGAAACAGCAGCCAAAGAAUCCUUGUAGUAGAUGAUCAUUUUGAUACAUUGCAGUAAAUGAAUUGAGUGUUAACUAUGCUCAGUUUUGAUCAGUCAAGAGAAUGAUUUAAUCUACCUAGUAAAGUGAACUCCCCUGCAGACAUGGUAAAUUCAAUACCAGGAAGUAAAGUUUUGAUUUUUUGAUUCAAAGUUUUGAUCUUUAUGUAUGAAUUAGAUUGUUGAAGAGCAUGAAGGAAGAAGAAGGGAGCGUGCGUACCAAUUGCAAAGUGUUCCUGGGGAUAUACUCCUGAGGAGGCCAUGAAUUCUUGAUACAAUGAAACAGAUUACCACUAACCAUGAUGAUCGUUGAUCCAAUCAAUUCAAUAUAGUAACCAUUCUAUGUGUCCCACUCUUCUAGACGAUUGCUACUAAACCUUCUACAUUUCCUAUACAUCACUUCUCCAUCCCCCAAUCUUCUUCAAUCAAGACUUUCUAUGUCUGCAUUCUACAUAUCUCGUUACCACUUUUAAUUGCAUCAAAGUUUACCAUAUCUUGUCAUCUUAAUAUUUAAUAUAAGAUCUUUGAAAAGGUUACAUAAAUUUAUAAUUUUGAUCUACCUCAUUAAAAUUUUUAUUAUUGUACUUGUUAAUUAUUUGUGUCAGAUGCACUAUACACCUAAAGCUGAUUUGUGUUUCAUAAGAAUUGGUAUCUUAUUUGUUUGAUUAACCGGCACCGGAUGCCUGCCUCCUUCAUGCAAAACAUGGAUAUUAUUCUAUUAUUCUAUCCCCAUGGUAUUAGUUUCCAAAACAUUCGAUUAAUGACAGAGUUUGAUAUAUUAGUGGAUAGAGUAGUAUUUUGUAAUGGGAUAGGUCGACAGGGUUUCCAAAUAGAAAAGAAAAUAGCGGUGGAGCCUAGUUGUUGUACGUAUAGUCACUUGACAUGCUUCGCCAUCGUCCUCCAACAUGGACUUGUCCAAUUCCAGUCGACAGGAGCGACUGAGCAAAGCCACCGCCUGUGGUUGAUGAUGUGGAUCCACCCUCAACUUCUGCAAGCUCUUCUUGCGUGUAGGAAGCAUGUAAAUGGUAAAACUGAUUCUAAUUACUGAAACUUUCAAUUCUCAGCAUUGUUGCUUACUUGCUUAUCUAUUUAGUUCUCUCAGAGUGCAUAAACAAGACAACUCAAUAGAACACAGAGUAGCAUUCAUCGAAAACAAAAGAGCUCUUGUCACUUCAAAGUUACGUACUAAACUAAAUUCUGAAUCAAGAAUUCAAGAUAAGCCUUCCAAAGACACACUCUUCAUGU